UACGUAGGGGGCAAGCGUUGUCCGGAUUUAUUGGGCGUAAAGAGCGUGUAGGCGGCCAUACAGGUCCGUUGUGAAAACCUUCAGCUUAACUGGAGACUUGCCAUUGAUACUGUUAGUCUUGAGUACGGUUAAGGUAGGCGGAAUGUGUAAUGUAGCGGUGAAAUGCUUAGAUAUUACACAGAACACCGAUUGCGAAGGCAGCUUACUGGGCCAUUACUGACGCUGAUGCACGAAAGCGUGGGGAGCGAACAGGAUUAGAUACCCUGGUAGUCCACGCCGUAAACGAUGAUCACUCGCUGUUAGCGAUACACAGUUAGCGGCUAAGCAAAAGCAUUAAGUGAUCCACCUGGGGAGUACGGCCGCAAGGCUGAAACUCAAAGGAAUUGACGGGGGCCCGCACAAGCGGAGGAACAUGUGGUUUAAUUCGAUGAUACGCGAGGAACCUUACCUGGGCUUAAAUGUAGAGUGCAUAGGGUAGAAAUAUCCUUUUCCUUCGGGACUCUUUGCAAGGUGCUGCAUGGUUGUCGUCAGCUCGUGCCGUGAGGUGUCGGGUUAAGUCCCAUAACGAGCGCAACCCUUAUCGUUAGUUGCCAGCGGGUAAUGCCGGGAACUCUAACGAAACUGCCGGUGUAAACCGUGAGGAAGGUGGGGAUGACGUCAGAUCAGCACGGCCCUUAUGUCCAGGGCUACACACGUGUUACAAUGGCCGGUACAGAGGGCAGCUACCUGGAGACAGGAUGCGAAUCUCAAAAGCCGGUCUCAGUUCGGAUCGGAGUCUGCAACUCGACUCCGUGAAGCUGGAUUCGCUAGUAAUCGCGCAUCAGCCAUGGCGCGGUGAAUACGUUCCCGGGCCU
rnacentral:rRNA from 1 species